rnacentral:rRNA from 1 species
UACAGAGGUCUCAAGCGUUGUUCGGAUUCAUUGGGCGUAAAGGGUGCGUAGGCGGCGCGGUAAGUCGGGUGUGAAAUCUUGGAGCUUAACUCCGAAACUGCAUUCGAUACUGCCGUGCUUGAGGACUGGAGAGGAGACUGGAAUUCCUGGUGUAGCGGUGAAAUGCGCAGAUAUCAGGAGGAACACCGGUGGCGAAGGCGGGUCUCUGGGCAACAACUGACGCUGAGGAGCGAAAGCGUGGGGAGCGAACAGG